rnacentral:rRNA from 1 species
AUUGAACUCUGGCGGCAGGCCUAACACAUGCAAGUCGAACGAGUGGCGGACGGGUGAGUAAUGUCUGGGAAUCUGCCCGAUGGAGGGGGAUAACUACUGGAAACGGUAGCUAAUACCGCAUACUAUCGGAUGUGCCCAGAUGGGAUUAGCUAGUUGGUGGGGUAACGGCUCACCUAGGCGACGAUCCCUAGCUGGUCUGCGAGGAUGAGCAGCCAUACUGGAACUGAGACACGGUCCAGACGCCUACGGGAGGCAGCAGGGGGGAAUAUUGCACAAUGGGAGCAAGCCGGAUGCAGCCAUGCCGCGUGUAUGAAGAAGGCCUUGGGGUUGUAAAGUACUUUCAGCGAGGAGGCGUUACUCGCAGAAGAAGCACCGGCUAACUCCGGGCCAGCAGCCGCGGUAAUUC